UACGUAGGGUGCGAGCGUUGUCCGGAAUUAUUUGGCGUAAAGAGCUCGUAGGCGGCUUGUCGCGUCGGAUGUGAAAGCCCGGGGCUUAACUCCGGGUCUGCAUUCGAUACGGGCAGGCUAGAGUUCGGUAGGGGAGAUCGGAAUUCCUGGUGUAGCGGUGAAAUGCGCAGAUAUCAGGAGGAACACCGGUGGCGAAGGCGGAUCGCUGGGCCGAUACUGACGCUGAGGAGCGAAAGCGUGGGGAGCGAACAGG
rnacentral:rRNA from 1 species